rnacentral:rRNA from 1 species
GACGAACGCUGGCGGCGUGCCUAAUACAUGCAAGUAGAACGCUGAAGGAGGAGCUUGCUUCUCUGGAUGAGUUGCGAACGGGUGAGUAACGCGUAGGUAACCUGCCUGGUAGCGGGGGAUAACUAUUGGAAACGAUAGCUAAUACCGCAUAAGAGUAGAUGUCGCAUGACAUUUGCUUAAAAGGUGCAAUUGCAUCACUACCAGAUGGACCUGCGUUGUAUUAGCUAGUUGGUGAGGUAACGGCUCACCAAGGCAACGAUACAUAGCCGACCUGAGAGGGUGAUCGGCCACACUGGGACUGGGACACGGCCCAGACUCCUACGGGAGGCAGCAGUAGGGAAUCUUCGGCAAUGGACGGAAGUCUGACCGAGCAACGCCGCGUGAGUGAAGAAGGUUUUCGGAUCGGAAAGCUCUGUUGUAAGAGAAGAACGAGUGUGAGAGUGGAAAGUUCACACUGUGACGGUAUCUUACCAGAAAGGGACGGCUAACUACGUG